rnacentral:rRNA from 1 species
CGGAAGAUGUAACGGGGCUAAACCAUGCACCGAAGCUGCGGCAGCGACACUAUGUGUUGUUGGGUAGGGGAGCGUUCUGUAAGCCGUUGAAGGUGUGCCGUGAGGCAUGCUGGAGGUAUCAGAAGUGCGAAUGCUGACAUAAGUAACGAUAAUGCGGGUGAAAAACCCGCACGCCGGAAGACCAAGGGUUCCUGUCCAACGUUAAUCGGGGCAGGGUGAGUCGACCCCUAAGGCGAGGCCGAAAGGCGUAGUCGAUGGGAAACAGGUUAAUAUUCCUGUACUUGGUGUUACUGCGAAGGGGGGACGGAGAAGGCUAUGUUAGCCGGGCGACGGUUGUCCCGGUUUAAGCAUGUAGGCGGAGAUUCCAGGUAAAUCCGGAGUCUUGUUAACGCUGAGGUGUGAUGACGAGGCACUACGGUGCUGAAGUAACAAAUGCCCUGCUUCCAGGAAAAGCCUCUAAGCAUCAGGUAACACAAAAUCGUACCCCAAACCGACACAGGUGGUCAGGUAGAGAAUACCAAGGCGCUUGAGAGAACUCGGGUGAAGGAACUAGGCAAAAUGGUGCCGUAACUUCGGGAGAAGGCACGCUGAUAUGUAGGUGAAGUGAUUUACUCAUGGAGCUGAAAUCAGUCGAAGAUACCAGCUGGCUGCAACUGUUUAUUAAAAACACAGCACUGUGCAAACACGAAAGUGGACGUAUACGGUGUGACGCCUGCCCGGUGCCGGAAGGUUAAUUGAUGGGGUUAUCCGUAAGGAGAAGCUCUUGAUCGAAGCCCCGGUAAACGGCGGCCGUAACUAUAACGGUCCUAAGGUAGCGAAAUUCCUUGUCGGGUAAGUUCCGACCUGCACGAAUGGCGUAAUGAUGGCCAGGCUGUCUCCACCCGAGACUCAGUGAAAUUGAACUCGCUGUGAAGAUGCAGUGUACCCGCGGCAAGACGGAAAGACCCCGUGAACCUUUACUAUAGCUUGACACUGAACACUGGUCCUUGAUGUGUAGGAUAGGUGGGAGGCUUUGAAGUGUGGACGCCAGUCUGCAUGGAGCCAACCUUGAAAUACCACCCUUUAAUGGCUGGUGUUCUAACGUAGACCCGUGAUCCGGGUUGCGGACAGUGUCUGGUGGGUAGUUUGACUGGGGCGGUCUCCUCCUAAAGAGUAACGGAGGAGCACGAAGGUUAGCUAAUCCUGGUCGGACAUCAGGAGGUUAGUGCAAAGGCAUAAGCUAGCUUGACUGCGAGAGUGACGGCUCGAGCAGGUGCGAAAGCAGGUCUUAGUGAUCCGGUGGUUCUGAAUGGAAGGGCCAUCGCUCAACGGAUAAAAGGUACUCCGGGGAUAACAGGCUGAUACCGCCCAAGAGUUCAUAUCGACGGCGGUGUUUGGCACCUCGAUGUCGGCUCAUCACAUCCUGGGGCUGAAGUAGGUCCCAAGGGUAUGGCUGUUCGCCAUUUAAAGUGGUACGCGAGCUGGGUUUAGAACGUCGUGAGACAGUUCGGUCCCUAUCUGCCGUGGGCGCUGGAGAAUUGAGGGGGGCUGCUCCUAGUACGAGAGGACCGGAGUGGACGCAUCACUGGUGUUCGGGUUGUCAUGCCAAUGGCAUUGCCCGGUAGCUAAAUGCGGAAGAGAUAAGUGCUGAAAGCAUCUAAGCACGAAACUUGCCCCGAGAUGAGUUCUCCCUGACCCUUUAAGGGUCCUGAAGGAACGUUGAAGACGACGACGUUGAUAGGUCGGGUGUGUAAGCGUAGCGAUACGUUGAGCUAACCGAUACUAAUGAACCGUGAGGCUUAACCUUACAACGCCGAAG